UACGAAGGGGGGCUAGCGUUGCUCGGAAUCACUGGGCGUAAAGCGCACGUAGGCGGAUUGUUAAGUCAGGGGUGAAAUCCUGGAGCUCAACUCCAGAACUGCCUUUGAUACUGGCGAUCUUGAGUCCGGGAGAGGUGAGUGGAACUCCGAGUGUAGAGGUGAAAUUCGUAGAUAGUUCGGAAGAACACCAGUGGCGAAGGCGGCUCACUGGCCCGGUACUGACGCUGAUGUGCGAAAGCGUGGGGAGCAAACAGG
rnacentral:rRNA from 1 species